rnacentral:rRNA from 1 species
AUUGAACGCUGGCGGCAGGCCUAACACAUGCCAGUCGAGCGGAGCUGCGAACGGGUGAGUAAUACCUAGUAAUCUGCCUGGUAGUGGGGGAUAACGUUCGGAAACGGACGCUAAUACCGCAUACUAUCAGAUGAGCCUCGGGGGUAUUAGCUAGUUGGUGAGGUAAUGGCUCACCAAGGCUACUAGCCGUAGCUGGUCUGAGAGGAUGAUCAGUCACACUGGAACUGAGACACGGCCCAGACUCCUACGGGAGGCAGCAGGGGGGAAGAUUGGACAAUGGGCGAAAGCCUGAUCCAGCAAUGCCGCGUGUGUGAAGAAGGUCUUCGGAUUGUAAAGCACUUUAAGUUGGGAGGCGUUACCGAAAGAAUAAGCAACGGCUAACUCUGUGCCAGCAGCCGCGGUAAUAC